rnacentral:rRNA from 1 species
CCUACGGGAGGCAGCAGUGAGGAAUAUUGGUCAAUGGGCGCGAGCCUGAACCAGCCAAGUAGCGUGAAGGAUGACUGCCCUACGGGUUGUAAACUUCUUUUAUAAAGGAAUAAAGUGAGGCACGUGUGCCUUUUUGUAUGUACUUUAUGAAUAAGGAUCGGCUAACUCCGUGCCAGCAGCCGCGGUAAUACGGAGGAUCCGAGCGUUAUCCGGAUUUAUUGGGUUUAAAGGGAGCGUAGACGGGUUGUUAAGUCAGUUGUGAAAGUUUGCGGCUCAACCGGAAAAUUGCAAUAGAUACUGGCGAUCUUGAGUGCAGAUGAGGUAGGCGGAACUCGAGGUGUAGCGGUGGAAUGCGUAGAUAUCACGAAGAACUCCGAUUGCGAAGGCAGCUUACUAGUCUGCAACUGACAUUGAUGCUCGAAAGUAUGGGUAUCGAACAGGAUUAGAUACCCCUGUAGUC